UGGUACAAGUGAGGCUACCGAACGUUGGAAACAGCGGUUAGGAGCUUACACCCACCCGUGUUUACAUACUAUUGUUGCUUUGGCGGGCCGUGGCCUCCACUGCGGGCUCUGCUCGUGUGUGCCCGCCAGAGAACCAAACUCUGAAUGUUAGUGAUGUCUGAGUACUAUCUAAUAGUUAAAACUUUCAACAACGGAUCUCUUGGUUCUGGCAUCGAUGAAGAACGCAGCGAAAUGCGAUAAGUAAUGUGAAUUGCAGAAUUCAGUGAAUCAUCGAAUCUUUGAACGCACAUUGCGCCCUGUGGUAUUCCGCAGGGCAUGCCUGUUCGAGCGUCAUUUAACCACUCACGCCUAGCGUGGUAUUGGGGCACGCGGUCUCCGCGGCCCUCAAAAUUAGUGGCGGCGCCGGUGGGCUCUAAGCGUAGUACAUACUCCCGCUAUAGAGUCCCCCCGGUGGCUCGCCAGAACCCCCAAUUUUUACAGGUUGACCUCGGAUCAGGUAGGGAUACCCGCUGA
rnacentral:rRNA from 1 species